ACUGCAGAUCUGAGUUUUCUGGUCCAUGGAGCCCACCUACAUCUGCAAAAGGACGGAGGGGGCAGAAACCUGCCCUGGCGGGGAAGUGAGGGUCUGAGCGAUGGAGAAAAGGCGGCGAACAAGAGCAGCCCCAUGAGCCCUGCAGUCAGGCAGCCGGGGGUCCUCUUUGCUCUUCUCCACCCUCCUUUCUCCCAGACCCACACCCCACUGACUUAGCCCAGGAGCCUCCCCAGGGGACAGGGCCCACUCACUCCUCAAUGUCCUUCCCAUAGGCUGAGCUCAUGGGCUGGGGUAACAUCUCAGGGAACCAAACCGACAUUCGAAUCCCUCCCCACAGAGCGCAGUCCUCAGGGAUCAGCCCUCCCUGCCUCCCCUGCCCAGUCCCUCCAUGGUCUGCCCUUCCUGCUCCUGCGUCCUCACCAAUUACUCAUCCCAGUGGUCCUAGAAAAUCCACCGUCCUCUUCUCAUGGCCUGGCCUGUGCCAGGCACACACGUUUUCCUCCUCGCUUUCCCUCCCCUGUCUCCUGGACCCACUGCGCCUCACUCUCCAGCAUCUCCUCCAAUGUUCCUCCUCCUGGAGGCUUCCCCUGUCCAUCCCACCCCAGGCCUGAAACCUGUCCUCUCAGUUCCCAAGGGCAGCUCUUCCACCUUACAGUUUAAUUUUUGUCAAGUUUUCUGAAACCCUAUUGGACAGAAGCAUCACAGAACAUGGCAACUUUGUCUAUGGUGUCUCUGAGCCCCACACAUGUCCUGGACAAAAAGCAACUCUGAAAAUUCUCUGACGAUAAUCGGAAAACAUUUGCUGUGUGGAGUUGUAUGCACAAAUUUUCGGAGUGGCUUUUUUUUUUUUUACUGAAGAAGCAAUUUUGGUAUUUACUCAUCAAAGAGUAAGAGAAGAAUACACACCUAUAUUAUGAGCCAUAAGUAUAAGGAAAUGCCUUGCAGACGUUUACAAAUACUAUGUAGAAGGAAUCAGACAUUCAAGCCAGUAUCUAUAAAUUUCAGACAGCAAACAGAAUGAUUCUUUGACACACUCAGUCUUUCCAAGAAAUAACCAAGUUCCCGAACCAACACCAGAAGUAGAGCAAGAAAAUGUUGGUGUUUCCCAUGAAGACACCACAGAGACAGACUCAACUCUCCUGCAUCUACUUAGGCACUGUCUUGGAUAGGCGUGGUGUGGAGGAGGUAAACUUAUCUAGUGAGUUGUCUGUGUCUGUGCAGGAAGCACCCAGGGAUGUUUGUUUUGGAAAAAUACAAAAGUAUGCAUUUGGUUGUACAUGAUGGCUAUGUGACCAAGAAAAGAGUGUUUUCUUUGUGUUUAAUACAAAAGUUUUAAACACACUUGUACACAAAACCAAAAACCAAGAUGUAACUUUACAGUGCCAGGACUCAAGGGGAAAUGUGCCAUUGGUCAGAAAGAAGAAUGAUUAUUUAACAAAUUCAAGCUCAUACAAAAUAACUGAAUUCCCCACCCCACCCAACAGGGAGCUCCUCCCCUUGUGCAUGCAGACCCCACAGAGAGGUUCUGAGCUCAGAGGCGCCCUGCUGGUCCUGCCUUUGAUGUGCAUCAUCUGGAGGAGGAGACCCAUGUCCACAGCAUCAUCUACAGCAACGCAGGAGGCACCCAGGGCUGCAUCUCCAGGUUUUCCCACCACUUGCUGUUGUUGAAAGUAUGAAAUACAUAAACUGAAGAAUGGUGUUCAUGGAUCUUAUAAGAUUAACCAAGACAUUACAGACAUAAGAGACAACAGUGAUAUUCUGAAACUCUAAAGCCACUGAUGGAUUCAAAGUCCAGCUGAGAGUAUUGGUGUAGGUGAAAGGCAUGGAGAUUUUUAAUCUUUCACUUCAUUAUGGAAAAGCACACUCAAUAAGAGAAUGGUCACAAAAUUAUUGUAUUAAAUGAAGUCUGUUAGCAACUAAGAAACUGUUGCAUUUGCACAGAGACAGGGGAAUAAACCAAUGAAGAAAGAAAACAGCAUAAAUACAGACGUGUAUAUAUGAACAAAUCAUUUGUAAGUCAAUAAAUGGGGACAGAUCAAUUUUUCUAAAACUAUUCAAAAAACUGAAUAUUCACAAGGGAAUUAAAAUCUGACCUUUAACUUCAUUUUACACACAAAAUCAGGUGGAUCACAGACAUUAUAUAUAUAUAUAUAUUUAGUACAGUAUGUAGAACACGUAAGAAAAUAUCUUUGGGACUAUGUGGUAGGGUAAGAUGCCUGAAACUAGACCUAGAAAGCACUAAUUAUAUAAGAAAAUAUUCUACAUAUUAUACAUAGUUGACUUGAGCAACGACUUUGGAUACAGACUGAAUCAAACUCAAAGCACUUUUAAUCCUUUCAUGUAGUGCUUAGUCUCAGAUUCAGAACUGGCCCGUGGCAGUGGUAACAGUGCUCACUUCUUGAGAUGUCAGGUGGGUUUGUAUAAAAUAAUAUAUAAAGCAUGUAGUAUAAUAUCACAUCUAUACAUAUCAUUAAGACUAAUUUUUAUAAUAAAUUGUGAGAUUUAUCUUUUAGAUUUAUAUAUCAGAAUGAAAUAAUAAAACCACUAAUAAAUAAUGGAGCAAAUAUUUCUAAUUAGAGUUUUAUAAUUAUUUUAUAAACUUUUCUCGACUAACACGUUUAUAUUUGUCUUAUAUCAUUCCUGUGAUUACAUGAGACAGAACAUAUAUGCAAAAUACGUUUACAAAGGUACUGCUAACACUUAUUUCAUUCAGAACAAACUCUCUGAAUCACUUUCAACUCAUCUUGUCCAUGAUUUUCCCCACAAUAUCAUCAUCUGUGCUAAUCACAAGCAUCAAUGUUGCUACAUUUCUCAUGGGACUCCUACACUACUCUAUGUAAGUUUAUCUUUCCAGUCUCCUGACACCCUUCUGUAAGUUUUGAUGCUUGAUGUAAUUA
rnacentral:lncRNA from 1 species